AGAAUCAACGCUGGCGGCGUGCCUAACACAUGCAAGUCGAACGAGAAAGUGGAGCAAUCCAUGAGUAAAGUGGCGCACGGGUGAGUAACACGUGACUAACCUACCCUUGAGUGGGGGAUAACCUCGGGAAACCGGGGCUAAUACCGCAUAAUAUCGAGAGAUCAAAGGAGCAAUUCGCUUAAGGAGGGGGUCGCGGCUGAUUAGCUAGUUGGUGAGGUAAUGGCUCACCAAGGCUAUGAUCAGUAU
rnacentral:rRNA from 1 species